AUUGAACGCUGGCGGCAUGCUUUACACAUGCAAGUCGAACGGUAACAGGCCUUCGGGUGCUGACGAGUGGCGAACGGGUGAGUAAUGCAUCGGAACGUGCCCAGAGGUGGGGGAUAACGCAGCGAAAGCUGUGCUAAUACCGCAUGUGAUCUGAGGAUGAAAGCGGGGGACCAGGCAGCAAUGUUUGGCCUCGCGCCUUUGGAGCGGCCGAUGUCAGAUUAGGUAGUUGGUGGGGUAAAGGCCUACCAAGCCGACGAUCUGUAGCUGGUCUGAGAGGACGACCAGCCACACUGGGACUGAGACACGGCCCAGACCCCUACGGGAGGCAGCAGUGGGGAAUUUUGGACAAUGGGCGCAAGCCUGAUCCAGCAAUGCCGCGUGCGGGAAGAAGGCCUUCGGGUUGUAAACCGCUUUUGUACGGAACGAAAAGGCUCUGGCUAAUACCUGGGGCUGAUGACGGUACCGUAAGAAUAAGCACCGGCUAACUACGUG
rnacentral:rRNA from 1 species